AGGGAGGGCGCCUGUAGGAGUCCUGAGGAAUCCAUCACAGCUGGCUGGAAAAGUGUGCAACUGCAGGCCAUGAAAACACUCGUCCUGAAUUGCAGCAUGUGCUGGUUUUCAUGGGGAUCUGGCCCUGUAUGCCUUCUGGCUCAUCCUCAAAGUCAAAAUGACCAUGAAAGGCAAAUGUUUUGAAUUGAUCCAAGACAUCAAGGCUGCCAUGACAGCACACUAAAUACACUCACGAAAGAGGACUCCAGAGCUGCUCCAGAAAGAGAGUCAGGUGUGGAAGAGUGCAAAAGGGCUGUCUGUGUGCUGGAGAUCUGAAGGAUCCAGUCAAAGUUCAAAGGCCUGGAGCUCUCUGUAGCGUCCUGUGUGAGUCCAUAUCAGAGGCUGAAGGGUCUGUGCUGGAAGCUAGAGCCCAGACUAUUAAUGACUGCUCUAUAAUCAUCACCAGCACCAAACAUCUGGGACUAACUACUGCGAGCUUCCAGACCAAGUCUUUGCAAAGCUUCAAGGAAUAGUGGCAGAAGCAAGUGAGAAGUCUUUCCUAAACAACAAGAUUGAAGAAUAAAGAAAGGCCAGAUUUGGCCAUAAGCACAGAUGAAAGGCUAAGAGACACCUCUUGGCCUACUGUGGCUUUGGAUCUGAGGCCAGCAUGUACAACUGCCCAAUGGUGCACUGCACAAGGACACUACAUCCAAGAGAACACAUUCUCCUUAGGACAGUCGAGCUUGGUGUAUUUAUUCUUGAAUUCCAAGUGGGGCCUUUUCCUAAUUUUUUCACAGGCUAGUGUGGCUCUGUUUAGACUGUAAUACUUUCAGAGGCUGGGAGGCCUCCAUGGGAUCCAGCCUUGCUUACCUGGAAGCAGGUUUAGGAUUUGGAGUAAAAACCUCUGUGCUUGUGUCACUCUUCAGAACCUUGCUGGUGGUGAACGCUGUGCACGGAAAGUCUAGAGAGGGACACAAAUGGGAAACUGAAGCCUGGUCACCCAACUGUAGAGAAGGUGGCUGAGGGUGGCGUGGAACUCGCUCAGGGCUCAGAGCCCACGCACAGAGCGGAC
ensembl:lncRNA